rnacentral:rRNA from 1 species
AGAGUUUGAUUCUGGCUCAGAACGAACGCUGGCGGCAGGCCUAACACAUGCAAGUCGAGCGCGCCCUUCGGGGUGAGCGGCGGACGGGUUAGUAACGCGUGGGAACGUACCCUUUGGUAGGGAAUAGCCACUGGAGACGGUGAGUAAUACCCUAUGAGCCCUUCGGGGGAAAGAUUUAUCGCCAAAGGAUCAGCCCGCGUUAGAUUAGGUAGUUGGUGGGGUAAUGGCCUACCAAGCCUACGAUCUAUAGCUGGUUUUAGAGGAUGAUCAGCAACACUGGGACUGAGACACGGCCCAGACUCCUACGGGAGGCAGCAGUGGGGAAUCUUGGACAAUGGGGGCAACCCUGAUCCAGCCAUGCCGCGUGAGUGAAGAAGGCCUUAGGGUCGUAAAGCUCUUUCGCCUGUGACGAUAAUGACGGUAGCAGGUAAAGAAACCCCGGCUAACUCCGUGCCAGCCGCGGC